CUAGUAACUGCGAGUGAAGCGGGAAGAGCUCAAAUUUGAAAUCUGGCGGUCUCCGGCCGUCCGAGUUGUAAUCUAGAGAAGUGUUACCCGCGCCGGACCGUGCAUAAGUCUCCUGGAACGGAGCGUCGCAGAGGGUGAGAAUCCCGUCUUUGGCACGGACUCCCGGGGCUUUGUGGUGCGCUCUCGAAGAGUCGAGUUGUUUGGGAAUGCAGCUCAAAAUGGGUGGUAAAUUCCAUCUAAAGCUAAAUAUUGGCGAGAGACCGAUAGCGAACAAGUACCGUGAGGGAAAGAUGAAAAGCACUUUGGAAAGAGAGUUAAACAGUACGUGAAAUUGUUGAAAGGGAAACGCUUGAAGUCAGUCGCGUCGGCCGGGGAUCAACCUUGCAAUCCUGCGGGGCGUACUUCCCGGUCGACGGGUCAGCAUCAGUUUCGACCGCCGGAGAAGGGUCAGGGGAAUGUGGCACCCUCGGGUGUGUUAUAGCCCCUGGUCGCAUGCGACGGUCGGGACUGAGGAACUCAGCGCGCCGCAAGGCCGGGUCCUCGGACCACGUUCGCGCUUAGGAUGCUGGCGUAAUGGCUUUAAUCGACCCGUCUUGAAACACGGACCAAGGAGUCUAACAUGCCUGCGAGUGUUUGGGUGGAAAACCCAUGCGCGCAAUGAAAGUGAAAGUUGAGACCUCUGUCGUGGAGGGCAUCGACGCCCGGACCUGAGCUUCUGCGACGGAUCCGCGGUGGAGCAUGCAUGUUGGGACCCGAAAGAUGGUGAACUAUGCCUGAAUAGGGUGAAGCCAGAGGAAACUCUGGUGGAGGCUCGUAGCGAUUCUGACGUGCAAAUCGAUCGUCGAAUUUGGGUAU
rnacentral:rRNA from 1 species